GAAAAGCCCAGGCUUCAGGGAUCCCCAGGUCUGACACCCCUCUGGCCUCUCAUGGAACGCGGGCUGCAUUCUUCACAGCGUCUCUUUGGAUUCCUUUCCCGGAAUCUCUGGAUCCUGGGAGCCAACAGAAGUAAACAUGGAGAUCCGACCUAGUUUCCUAGAACUUCCAUAACGUAGCACAAUCCGGGCAGUUUCAACAACAGAAAUGCAUUCUCUCACAGCUCUGGAGAGUGGCGGGCAAGGUCCCCGAGGGUGUCUGAUCCCGGCUCUCCAAGCUGCUGGCGGGCUGCUGACAUCCCUGGCCUGCCUGGGCUUCUGCAUGCAUCAUCCCGACCUCUGCCUGACUUCUCAUGGCCUUCUCCCCUGUGCGGGUCCUUCCUUUCCCUGUCUGUCUCUGGGUCCACGUUUCCCCCUUUUCAUAAGGUCACUAGUCCUAUCGGGUGAGGGUCCACCUGACUACCUCAGUCUAACUCUUACUUCUGUGAAGGUAUUUCCAGAUAGUUACACUCUGAAGUACUGAGGAUUGGGGCACAUAUGUUUUAUAUGCUUUGGAGGCACAUAUUCAACCAUAGCAAGGUCCUUGGACUACUUUCAUAUCUUGGAAGUAAUAUAAGAAGUAGACCUUCUCAUACUGACUUCUCGUAAGUACUGUUUGUU
rnacentral:lncRNA from 1 species